UGACAGCUCCAGUGCCAGGAGUGGAGGGAGGUAAAUAAGAGAUGAGAGACAGGAAAGGAAAGGGAGGAAGCUGGCUCCCUGCUGUCACUUGACACAAAGGCCACUCCAAGAUUUCACCCACAACAGCAGAAAGGCCCCUUCCAUAAACAGUGCAUGCUCUCUUCAUGUGGUGGGGUCAGCGGCAAUGUGUGUCCCCCGGCAGGUGGGCGCCCCUCGGAGGAGCCCAGAGCCGGGAAGCACACCGGGGCACUCCUAAAAAGGGGCCUGGGGAAAGCACCCCUUGGCCCCCAGAAUCUGUUGCUCACUGCAUGGACUCAACAGCCAGAGGGAUUCCAAAAGGUCAUUGACACUGCAGCAUCCCCGCUAAAUCACCAAUGACUGGACUCCUGAUGACAGAAGAGGAUGAACAGGAUCUAACAAGUCCACAACUGUGGCACAGGAAGAUUAAGAGAUUCUGCAGCUCUGCAGGAGGGGGCUGUCCGAAGUGGAAUUAGAACUCAGUGCUCCAGGCCCUGCGAUGAAAAGGCCACGGAAACGCCCAGUCAGCAUUUUGGUCCCAUGGCUGCAAGAGGCUGCCAGUCACCUUCAAUAGCUGUGUCAGUAACUGAGAAUUCUUGACUAAUCCUAAAUAAAUCCCACAUGGUUGAAA